UUUUUAACCUUGAGAAGGUCCAAAUGCCACUAAAAGCCGGACAGGAAUGGAAUCUCUAAAUGGAAAUGAGAAGCAAUUUUUCAUUUCUUGAGCAGUUCUCCUAAGAAGUCUUUGGGGUGAGGGCGCAGGGAUGCUGAGCUGGGGGCACAGGCACCCUGAGGCUUCUGUCCCGCUCACGCUCUUUGGUCUUUUGCCUGGAAGGGUGAACACGUGCCCUGUGGUGGAGCCGAGGCAGAGGAUGGUGUGCAGAGAGCUCCCCUGUCUGCUUCCCGCCACGUGCCCAGAGGCUGUGCUUUAUUCCUGCUGGUUCUGACACGAGUCUUCAGGGGCAUCUGAUCAAGCUGGAGAAGGUCAGGGGGUUAAUUUUGCCCCGAAGGCAGGCAUUACGUCUGGCAUCUAAGCAAGAAUUCAGAGUAUGCUGAGAGCUCUCUGAUGUCCAGCAGUUGAGUGGAAGGGCGCCUAAGGCUCCACUAGAAAUAGGACUUGCCCUACUCUCAAAGACAGGGGACACCCCCAACGCUGACUGGCAGGGCAAAAGAUGCUCUGAGAUGGUCUUUAAGCCCCAAGUGAGGUAUUUCUUUUGAUGGAGCUGCAGAGACAGCGUCCUCGGUCUGCCGUGGGCUCAGCUUCCCCUUUGCCAGAGGGAGAAAGCACCCGUUCCCAGUCCUGUUCUCAACUCCUUGUGGGGAGAAUGAUUAGCGAAACAGCUAAACUAUUGGUAAAGAUGCUGGCAUGGGGCGGGGCUCAGGUGGGGGCACAGGUGACAGGUGUAGUGUCGAGGUAAUUGUCCCUUUGGUAUCAGUUCCCAUACUUCGUUGCUGGCUUUGAAUGUGGUUCUGAGCAACUACACAACACAGUUGUGGACGGGGGUUGUUUUGUCUUUCGACGUCUCUCCUCUCCUGCUUCAAGAAACAAACAAAAUGAACAAAAAUCCCUAGGUUAAAAAAUAUCUAUUCUCAUUUUAAAAACCCAAGCAUUUCAAGUGUCCCACAGCUAUUGGCUCAUUACCCAGAGUUAACUACCAGUAACAAAAGCAUUCUUUUAGCAAUUUUUCAUACAUAAACAAAUACACGUAUAUAACAUUUUAAAAUGUAGAUGUCAGCAAACUAUAGGCUCUUCUGCAUCUUGUUUUUUCUUUUUUUCACAUAACAACUUUUUGGAACAUCCUACGUCAGCAUAUACAAAUCCAUCUCCUCUUUCCAGUGACUGAAUUGUACUCCAUCCAGUGGAUAGACCCAGUGUACCUAGCUAGUCCCCCACAAUAAAUAGUUAGGUUAUUUUCAGUUCUUUGAUGCUGCAAGAAUCAAAGCAAUGAACGCAUACAAAAACACACUUAGUUGAAGUAUAAUUUUUUAAAAAGUCAAAUGAAAAAAGUCACCAUUCCGCUCAUGAAGAAAUGAGAGAACCAGUAAGAUGAGGCCUUGUAAUCUCUAAGAACUAAAACUAAAAAGUGAUCAGUGGUGGUGAGCUCUUGGGGUCCUUGACAGAAGCAGACACAUAUCCCUUCUGAAGGAUCAUGUUUUCAUCCCAGGCCUGGAGUCCCCUGGAUAAAGCCUGUAAAUAUGAACUCAAAAAUUUCAAACUACAAAAAUAAGCCACCAAGAACAAGAAUCAGCAAAAACAACAAACAGGAGAAUUAAAUCUCCAAGAAAAUCAGAUACUGAAAUGAUCAGAUAUAGAUUAUAAAAUAGAUAUGUUUAAGAUUAUUACAGAGGGGCCAGCCCCAUGGCAGAGUGGUUAAGUUUGCUUGCUCCGCUUCAGUGGCCCAUGGUUCUGCUGGUUCGGAUCCUGAGUGCGGACAUGGCACUGCUUGUCAGGCCAUGCUGAAGUAGCGUCCCAUAUGCUACAACUAGAAGGACCCACAACUAAAAAUAUACAACUAUGUACUGGGGGGAUUUGGGGAGAAAAAGCAGAAAAAAAUAAAAUUAUUACAGAAACUGAAAAAUAAAAUUGAAAAUGUGAGAAAAGAACAAACUUACUAUAUUAAACAAAAUACCAGGUCAAUUGGAAAAUAACAUACUUAUAGAAAUAAAAAUAAAAUAGCCAGAGAAUUGAAAACACAACAGAAAAAAAUAAUCACAAAAAGAAGAGACAAUUAGUUGCCUGGAAGAUAGAUCUGAAGAAAUUACUCAGAACUUGAUGCAAAGAAGAAAGGAAAUGGGAAAUAGCAAAUUGAAAUUAAUGACAUGGAGGGUAUUUUGAGAUGAUGUAACAUAGAUAUAAUUGAAGUUCCAGAAAGAGACAAGAUUGAGAGAGAGACAAUCUUCAAAGGGAUCUUUUUUUUCUGAGAAUGUUCCCAAACUCAUGACAGACAUGAAUCCUUCGAUUCAGGAAAUAGUGACUCACAAGCAGGAUAAACAAAAAUAAAUUUACACUGAGGUACGCUGUAGUGGAGUUCUAUGGUGGAGACCCCUCAGUCUCACUCAUGUCCUUAUCUAUUCUUAUGCUAAAUCCAGUAACAGCAGCAACAAUAUGGAUACCUUAUUUUCAUUUUCUAUGUUUCCAAAGUAUUUUAUAGAUAUGGCCUAGCAAGACGUCAAAGGUAAGGCCUUUGCUGGAUGAGAAGUUGCAUGUCAAAGAUUAAGGCACUAGUUCAAGGCCAGCCUGCUUGGCAGCAAAGGGAAGACUAAAUGCUGGUUUCCUAGGUGGGAGCCUUUCCACUCUGCGCUCCUUGGAGAAAGCCAUUUGGAAGGUGACUCCAACCAUAGAGACAGCUGUGCUUUAGAGGCUGGAGCAGAGUGUGUGUGUGCAUGAAGGAGCUGGGGAUGUUUGUAGCUUGCAAAAGUAAUCCAGGAGAAGACGUCAAACUUGCUGUUGAGGUUGUCACUGAAUAGCUUGAAAUUUCUCAGAAGACUAAAGGAAGGUGUGGGCUUUAUGUUUGUCAAAAUGGGAUGUAGGUGAAAAAGAUUGAAAAACAUAACAGGAAAAUCUCAUUUGCGGAUAUUAUGGGUUGAAUUGUGUCCCCUCAAAACAAGACACGGUGAAGUCCUAACCCCCAUUCCCUCAGAAUGUGACCUUAUUUGGAAAUAACGUCAUUGCAGAUGUAGUUGGUUAUUGUUAAGAUGAAGUCGUGCUGGAAUAGGGUGGGCCGCUAAUUCAUCGUGACUGGUGUCCUAAUAAGAAGACGGCCAAGUGAAGAGAGAGACACAGAGGGAACCUUGAGAAGGCGGAGGAUUGGAGAGGUGCAUCUGUAAGCCAAGGAAGGCCAAAGAUUGGCGGCAAACCACCAGAAGCUGGGAAGAGCCUUCUGUCACUGCUUCUGAAUUUGGAAGAGGUAAAUAGAGACUCUGGAUCGGUAAGAGUCAUCCUUUUCAAGGCGGCUAUGGCCACGUGGAGGAUCUAAUGGCUCAGCAGCCAGUGCUGGCGGUGUUAAGACGAGCGUGCAGGGAUGAUUAGGUGGUCCUGCUGGCUGCUGAAAAGACAUUUGGGCUUGACCUCCCACUCCCCCAUUUCUUGCUCAGACAUGUUUUCCAGGCUUCCCAUGAUUCUGUGAGCUACUAGCCCUUCUCUACUCGACUGGAGCCCAUUUCAACUCUUCGGAGCAUAGGGCCCUGACCAGUGCUUGACAACCUGUAAGUUUCCUUUGAGUUUUAAAGGAUGACCACUCUCUAUGCUUUUUAUCUUUAAUUACCAAUUACCAUUUAACCCAGAACCCACAGAGUGCCAAUUCUAAUCAGGGGGCCAUGCUCAGAGGAAGGCUACAGGUUGAUUCUCCCCAGGGUGGGAGGCUCACAGAAUGGGCAAAGGACCAGCUUUCUGACAUCAACAAGUAAGCCUUUGGGGCCACAGUCACGUGGGCUAAAGGGACUCCAGAGAUCAUCUCAUCCAAUCCCUUCCUUGCGUGUCAGGAAAAAUCAUGAAAGACUGAAAUGAGCAAAAGACAAUUACUGUGUCUUGUCUAGCGCGCCUUUUACAGCUCUGUAAAUUGUAGGAAACUGAUAAUGAAGCCGGGUACCUGAGGGUCACUGUAGCUAUUCAAUAAGAACAUGAGUGCCUUUUGACUUCUUCCCAACACAGACAUAAAUGAAUCUUGUCCAUUUGCUGUUUUCUUGUUUAAGUUGAGGGGCGACUCAGGGGUCGAAAAUUUGUGAGCUUGUUUUGCAGAAGAAUGAGAAGGCCUUUGGGGAGGUUGUGAUCACGGGAUGGCCAGCCCCCUGCAGCUGUUGACACCCAGAAGUCAGAUUGCUCAGGGGCUCACCAGGAGUGACCCCUUUGUUUCCCCAAAGCUCCUCCUGCCAAUCCGCUUAGCUCUAUAAAAACCCUCCUGCCUUCUUCUCUUAUUAAGGCAGAUUUGAGAGGUUCAGUACCAAUAAUAAUGCAAAUGAUUUUCUUGUCCCCAAAAAAGCAAAUUAAUUGUGUACAGUGGAAUGCAACUCAUUAUUGACCUCUUUUGGAUCUAUUUGUAAAUUCAUUUCAGCAUUCUUUUUCUGCCUAUAUAUAUAUAUAUAAAAUAUAUAUUGAACUAGUAACAUCAUAUUGGUU
ensembl:lncRNA